AUUGAACGCCGGCGGCAUGCCUUACACAUGCAAGUCGAACGGUAACGGGCCUUCGGGUGCCGACGAGUGGCGCACGGGUGAGUAAUACAUCGGAACGUGCCCGAUCGUGGGGGAUAACGAGGCGAAAGCUUUGCUAAUACCGCAUACGAUCUACGGAUGAAAGCAGGGGACCGCAAGGCCUUGCGCGGACGGAGCGGCCGAUGGCAGAUUAGGUAGUUGGUGGGAUAAAAGCUUACCAAGCCGACGAUCUGUAGCUGGUCUGAGAGGAUGAUCAGCCACACUGGGACUGAGACACGGCCCAGACUCCUACGGGAGGCAGCAGUGGGGAAUUUUGGACAAUGGGCGCAAGCCUGAUCUAGCCAUGCCGCGUGCAGGAUGAAGGCCUUCGGGUUGUAAACUGCUUUUGUACGGAACGAAAAGCCUUCUUUUAAUACAGGAGGGUCAUGACGGUACCGUAAGAAUAAGCACCGGCUAACUACGUG
rnacentral:rRNA from 1 species